GUCACCAAGGUAUUAUUGUCGCGGAGAAUCGACUAAAAAUGAAUCUGAUCGACCGAGAUUCUGCAACUCGCCUCUGUUCAGCGAAAGAUCACAAUUUAUGACACCAAUAUUUCAUUAAACGAGAGAAAUUGAUACAAUCUAUCAUUGAUACCAUGUAUAACAGCUUCGUCAGUUCUCGUCACGGCUCUUGCUAAUUAUUAUAAAUGAAAGUUCCCCAGUAUGUUGAAACAAUCAGGAAGUAAUUCAUCUGUUUGAGAAAGGCGUUUCUUAUUUCAACGAGAACGAACGCCAUUUUUCUAUAUAUCAGAGUGCAUUGAUGUUUACCGACGAACUGACCUUCGUAAAACGAGUAUGCGGGGCAAAAACGAAGCGGUACUUUCGUUGAAAAAACGAAGUCUCGCUAAUGUAGUUUAUAGCUAGGAUUGUGUGAUAUCAUGUGCUAAAUACGUACGAAUUAAGGAAAGCAAGAGCGUCCUAUUUUAAGUACAGGAAGUAUCAGCCGGGAUUAAAGCUCGUUACGUCUCACAUUCACGUGUGAUUCGCUAUCCUUCAAUGAAAAACGGUGUAAGCAAACAUCCAACGAUCGAGCGGUCAAU